rnacentral:rRNA from 1 species
GAUGAACGCUGGCGGCGUGCUUAACACAUGCAAGUCGAACGAAGCACUUUGAUCGAUUUCUUCGGAUUGAAAUUUUAGUGACUGAGUGGCGGACGGGUGAGUAACGCGUGGGUAACCUGCCUCACACAGGGGGAUAACAGUUGGAAACGGCUGCUAAUACCGCAUAAGCGCACAGUACCGCAUGGUACGGUGUGAAAAACUCCGGUGGUGUGAGAUGGACCCGCGUCUGAUUAGCUAGUUGGCAGGGCGACGGCCUACCAAGGCGACGAUCAGUAGCCGACCUGAGAGGGUGACCGGCCACAUUGGGACUGAGACA